rnacentral:rRNA from 1 species
UACGGAGGGGGCUAGCGUUAUUCGGAAUUAUUGGGCGUAAAGGGCGCGUAGGCGGUCAGCACAAGUCAGUUGUGAAAUCUCCGAGCUUAACUCGGAAAGGUCAACUGAUACUGUGCGACUAGAGUGCGGAAGGGGCAACUGGAAUUCUUGGUGUAGCGGUGAAAUGCGUAGAUAUCAAGAGGAACACCUGCGGCGAAGGCGGGUUGCUGAGCCGACACUGACGCUGAGGCGCGAAAGCUAGGGGAGCGAACGGG